rnacentral:rRNA from 1 species
GACAGAGGGUGCAAACGUUGUUCGGAUUUACUGGGCGUAAAGCGCGUGUAGGCGGCUUUGCAAGUCGGAUGUGAAAGCCCACGGCUCAACCGUGGAAGUGCAUCCGAAACUGCAUGGCUUGAGUCUCGGAGAGGAAGGUGGAAUGCUUGGUGUAGAGGUGAAAUUCGUAGAUAUCAAGCAGAACACCUGCGGCGAAGGCGGCCUUCUGGACGAUGACUGACGCUGAGACGACGAAGCUGGGGAGCAAACAGG